UACAGAGGUCUCAAGCGUUGUUCGGAUUCAUUGGGCGUAAAGGGUUCGUAGGUGGCCAACUAAGUCAGACGUGAAAUCCCUCAGCUUAACUGGGGAACUGCGUCUGAUACUGGUCGGCUUGAGUGCAGGAGAGGAACGCGGAAUUCCAGGUGUAGCGGUGAAAUGCGUAGAUAUCUGGAGGAACACCGGUGGCGAAGGCGGCGUUCUGGACUGCAACUGACACUGAGGAACGAAAGCCAGGGGAGCAAACGGG
rnacentral:rRNA from 1 species